rnacentral:rRNA from 1 species
UACGAAGGGUGCAAGCGUUGUUCGGAUUUAUUGGGCGUAAAGGGCGCGCAGGCGGGACGAUAAGUCAGGUGUGAAAUCUCGGGGCCCAACCCCGAAACUGCGCCUGAAACUGUUGUUCUAGAAUCUUGGAGAGGGAGAGAGAAUAUCGCAUGUAGGGGUAAAAUCCGUAGAGAUGCGAUGGAAUAUCGGAGGCGAAGGCGCUUUCCUGGACAAGUAUUGACGCUGAGGCGCGAGAGCGUGGGGAG